CACGUAGUUAGCCGGGGCCUCUUGGUCGGGUACCGUCCGCGGCUCUCGCGAACCGUGUUUCUUCCCCGCUGACAGAGCUUUACGCGCCGAAACGCUUCUUCACUCACGCGGCGUCGCUGCAUCAGGGUUUCCCCCAUUGUGCAAUAUUCCCCACUGCUGCCUCCCGUAGGAGUUUGGGCCGUGUCUCAGUCCCAAUGUGGCCGUCCGCCCUCUCAGGCCGGCUACUGAUCGUCGCCUUGGUGGGCCGUUACCCCGCCAACCAGCUAAUCAGACGCGGGUCCAUCCCGUACCACCGGAGUUUUCAAGAAAGGAACAUGCGUCCCCUUCUGUUAUGCGGUAUUAGCACCUGUUUCCAGGUGUUACUCCCCCGGUACGGGGCAGGUUCCCCACGCGUUACUCCACCCGUCCGCCACUAAGGCCCGCGCCUUCCGGGUCUGGUAAACCACUCCCCUUCCGCCCGCGUCGGCCCCCGUUCGACCUUGCCAUGUGUUAGGCACGCCGCCAGCCGUUCAUCCCUGACGCCCAGGGACUACAAACUUCU
rnacentral:rRNA from 1 species